rnacentral:rRNA from 1 species
ACGAACGCUGGCGGCGUGCUUAACACAUGCAAGUCGAACGGGUCUGCCCUGUUUUUUGCGGGGUGGGUCAGUGGCGAACGGGUGAGUAACACGUGAGUAACCUGCCCCUCACUUCUGGAUAACCGCUUGAAAGGGUGGCUAAUACGGGGUGUUCUGGCUGUGCCGCAUGGUGUGGCUGGGAAAGAUUCACUUUUGUGGUGUUUUGGUGGGGGAUGGGCUCGCGGCCUAUCAGCUUGUUGGUGGGGUGAUGGCCUGCCAAGGCUUUGACGGGUAGCCGGCCUGAGAGGGUGGGCGGUCACACUGGGACUGAGAUACGGCCCAGACUCCUGCGGGAGGCAGCAGUGGGGGGUAUUGCACAAUGGGCGGAAGCCUGAUGCAGCUACGUCGCGUGAGGGAUGGAGGCCUUCGGGUUGUGAACCUCUUUCGCCGGUGAAGAAGGUCCUGCUCUUUGUGGUGGGGUUGACGGUAGCCGGGUUAUGAAGCGCCGGCUAACUACGU